CAGUUUGUGUUUUCUUUUGACAAGCCCAUACUACCUGUACAACAUUAUUAAUCCAGUGACUGGGCCCCUACAUGAACAACACAGGCCUAAUUUCAUCUUCAUGGACGAAAAUGCUCUAGCUCAUC